rnacentral:rRNA from 1 species
UACGUAGGUGGCAAGCGUUGUCCGGAAUUAUUGGGCGUAAAGCGCGCGCAGGUGGUUUCUUAAGUCUGAUGUGAAAGCCCACGGCUCAACCGUGGAGGGUCAUUGGAAACUGGGGAACUUGAGUGCAGAAGAGGAAAGUGGAAUUCCACGUGUAGCGGUGAAAUGCGUAGAGAUGUGGAGGAACACCAGUGGCGAAGGCGGCUCUCUGGUCUGUAACUGACGCUGAGGCGCGAAAGCUAGGGGAGCGAAUGGG